GGGUUGUGAGGUUAAGCGACUAAGCGUACACGGUGGAUGCCCUGGCAGUCAGAGGCGAUGAAGGACGUGCUAAUCUGCGAUAAGCGUCGGUAAGGUGAUAUGAACCGUUAUAACCGGCGAUUUCCGAAUGGGGAAACCCAGUGUGAUUCGUCACACUAUCAUUAACUGAAUCCAUAGGUUAAUGAGGCGAACCGGGGGAACUGAAACAUCUAAGUACCCCGAGGAAAAGAAAUCAACCGAGAUUCCCCCAGUAGCGGCGAGCGAACGGGGAGGAGCCCAGAGCCUGAAUCAGUGUGUGUGUUAGUGGAAGCGUCUGGAAAGGCGCGCGAUACAGGGUGACAGCCCCGUACACAAAAAUGCACAUGCUGU
rnacentral:rRNA from 1 species